rnacentral:rRNA from 1 species
GACGGAGGGGGCUAGCGUUGUUCGGAAUUACUGGGCGUAAAGGGCGCGUAGGCGGCCCGCUAAGUCGAACGUGAAAUCCCCGAGCUCAACUCGGGAACUGCGUCCGAUACUGGCGGGCUUGAAUCCGGGAGAGGGAUGCGGAAUUCCAGGUGUAGCGGUGAAAUGCGUAGAUAUCUGGAGGAACACCGGUGGCGAAGGCGGCAUCCUGGACCGACACUGACACUGAGGAGCGAAAGCCAGGGGAGCAAACGGG